rnacentral:rRNA from 1 species
GGAGUUAGCCGGUGCUUCUUCUGUGAGUGAUGUCCUUCCUGCCGGCUAUUAACCCGCAGGCCUUCUUCCUCACUGAAAGUGCUUUACAACCCGAAGGCCUUCUUCACACACGCGGCAUGGCUGGAUCAGGGUUGCCCCCAUUGUCCAAUAUUCCCCACUGCUGCCUCCCGUAGGAGUCUGGGCCGUGUCUCAGUCCCAGUGUGGCUGAUCAUCCUCUCAGACCAGCUACGGAUCGUCGCCUUGGUGAGCCGUUACCUCACCAACCAGCUAAUCCGACAUAGGCUCAUCCGAUAGCGCGAGGCCCGAAGGUCCCCCGCUUUCCCCCGUAGGGCGUAUGCGGUAUUAGCCUGGGUUUCCCCAGGUUAUCCCCCACUACCGGGCAGAUUCCUAUGCAUUACUCACCCGUCCGCCGCUCGCCACCAGGGAGCAAGCUCCCCGUGCUGCCGCUCGACUUGCAUGUGUUAGGCCUGCCGCCAGCGUUCAAUCUGAGCCAGAAUCAAACCUCUGA